UGCCUAGUCAUCAAAACAGCAGACCAUAUCUGUAUGAUAGCAGCAGAAAUUUUUUGAAGCGAUACGAAUUGAGCUUGCGUGACAUGGCUUCUUCUGGGGAAGAAAUAAUAUCUAUACAGAGAGGUUGCAACUUACCUGCGCUUAACAGAUGCACCUCCUGCUGUUCCCUAUUUCACUGUCCUUUCUGUAAUUCUGAUUUUUUUUCAAGCCCUCAAAGAAAAGUAAAGUAUAAACUCAUCUUAAGCUUCACUUUUCUAGGGCAGUCGUCCAUGAAGGUAGCAUCAUUUAUGAUUGAUUUUUAUUUUAUUUUUUUCUAAAAAUGUAAUGAAUGUUAAUGUGAAAUGGAUGCAUGAUAGAUGUUUUAGUUUACUCAAAUUUACUCAUGUCAGCAUUGUCAGGGCACGUUGCAUAAAAGUUUAACAAAUAAGUUGUUAAAUAAGUGCUGUGUCUUUCUCUGAAAUGCAAGAAAAGGAGUGAUUUGUGUUUUGUUUUUCUUUUUUUCUUUCAGAUUAUACAAUCCACCAGUGUGGUCUAGGUUGUGUGCCACAAUUACAACUACCACUAGAAUCUACAGGAGUCAUGCUGUUAAGAAAUAAAAGUCAUGGUGUUAAUAAAUAUUUUUGUGAACAACAAUA
rnacentral:lncRNA from 1 species